rnacentral:rRNA from 1 species
UACGGAGGGUGCAAGCGUUAUCCGGAUUCACUGGGUUUAAAGGGUGCGUAGGUGGGCAGGUAAGUCAGUGGUGAAAUCUCCGGGCUUAACCCGGAAACUGCCAUUGAUACUAUCUGUCUUGAAUACCGUGGAGGUGAGCGGAAUAUGUCAUGUAGCGGUGAAAUGCUUAGAUAUGACAUAGAACACCAAUUGCGAAGGCAGCUCACUACGCGAAUAUUGACACUGAUGCACGAAAGCGUGGGGAUCAAACAGG